GCCUUCCCGGAGGCGUGAGCCCGGGCGCUCGGCCAGUGCGCGUGGAGGAAGCGCUCGGCGGGGGCCGGCGCCCCGCCGAUCGACGCCCUCCCACUUGCUAACCCCUUCGUUUCUGCCUCCUGCCCCGCUGCCGUCGGGCGUUACGGCGCUUCGCCCGGCGCGGUCCGCGCCGAGGUAUUUGUGAGGACCUCUCCUCCCGUGAAAGCCACCCAGAUAAGCACCCGAGCAGUUAUUAUUAUUCCCCCCCCCCCGCCCCCAAAGCAUCCCUUUAGCUUCUGAAAGGAGCUUUGGCCCCCGGCGAAAGUCUGCGUUUGAUCUCCUGGUGGGAAGGGAACGCCGCUGAGGCCGCCCCGCGCCAGCGGCUCCCGUUCGCCUCCGAGACGCGGCCGAACCUCCCGCGAGCUUCCCGGUUUUCUCCGGCGCCCGUCAAUGCCGCCCUGCGAUGAGAACCGGCGUCUGAGCGAGCGACGGGAAGCUGCCGGGUUUUAUCGCAGGUGGCUCCUACCUGCGCCGUGCCACGGGCGGAGAGGAAUCGUUGACGGUGCCGCCGUGAGCGAGCGAUUAUCGGGGCCCCGAUAACAGCGUCCGGUGGGCCGCCGGAGGGGCUGGGCAAAGCGGCAGCGCCAACCUCUUUGCCGACAGCGACAGCUCCUGCGUCCUCCGGCUCCCGCAUGCCAACAACGGUGCUCAGCUCUGGGAAUGGAUCCGGCAAAUAAAAGAAUAAAACAGA